CAGCAACGUACCUCGAACUGGAUUGCUUUGAAUAUCUUCGGUGCUUUCAAAUUCUUCUAUAAUCAUUGGGAAGUGAAGCUUACAAUCUGUAAGGAGCCAAAGCAGUACCAUGUGAUUCAGCAGUACAGAGGAAGUCAGAAAUAUUUGGUUGCUGUGGACUUCUGGCUGAGUUGAAUUUACAACACCUUAAAAGAGAUGCCUGUGUUAAGGAUGUGAAUAGCAGGGUAUUUUUGGUAGCCUUAGUAUAAUCAAAGCAUUUCACAUUGGAUGCUCAAGCAUGCAUGCUCUGAAGUCUUCUGUUUCUGGGAUCUUCCGAAAGAAGUUCUCCUGGAACUGGAAGAUUAGCCAAGCUUUUAAAGAAUUUGGACGGCUGUGUGAAGCUGAGGUGAGCGCGUUCCUCCCUGACCCAUGCUGUAUCUCUUAAGAC